AUAGUACUUCCUUCAUCCGGAAUUACUUGACGCUCAAACAGAUGUAUCUAGACCUAUUUUAGUGCUAGAUACAUCCGUUUGAGCGUCAAGUAAUUCCGUAUGGAGGGAGUACUAG
rfam:Triticum aestivum genome assembly, contig: Triticum_aestivum_CS42_TGACv1_scaffold_457508_5DS